GUGUGACCCACCAAACAGGGCUUGCUGGAGACUUGAGUGCACAGGCGGCCCUUCCUGAAAAAUCAGUUGCUGCCUGGCCUCUGAUCUCCUGUCAGGAAGUUCCAUCUCCGUCUCCAUGAAGAGAGCGUGACCAAUAGAACACCCUCCGUGAUUGCAGCUCAACUCAACCAACUGCAAGGAUGUUAGAAUUGACCCAAGCAAAACCUGUAAAGUGCACACCUACAAAAGACAAGGUUCCUUCCUGGAACAAUGCUGAGUUAUUUACACAAUUCCAGAAAAUAACAAAAUGGACUACUAUAUUUUCCCCAAACUUCAACUUUGGUAAAUUAUUUCCCAAAUCUAGUCUAUAAUUGCCUCUCUAUAUCUUCUCUCCACAUCAGGAUAUACAUCUGAAAUAAGGUACUAUUAAUUUACU
rnacentral:lncRNA from 1 species